GUGGUAGGUAGAAUAUUAUUAUAUACCUAUAUAGUAUAUACCUAGGUAAUCAAAACAUCUCAAAUAAACGUGGUUAUAACUUAUAACUUAUAUCAGAUAAUACUGCAGUUGGAAUAUACUGAGGAAGUUAUAUUUACUAUUUACCGCUAUUAUUGUUAUUAUUAUUAUUAUUAUUAUUGGCAAGUAUCGUUUAUCGGAUACGUUCAUUUCGAUAAUAUUGUAACAAUAUUUCACGUAUAGAUAAUAUUUACAAAAUAAAUUAUUGGCCGAUUAACCGACAGUUUGCCUAGUUAUAUCCAUGUAUAAUAGUCAAUAUAAACAAACCAUUUUUAUUACUCUCACACUCUUGUAAAAACAUUAUAACAUUAUAAAAUAUUUUUUUUAUUAUACCUACUUUAACACAUUAAUUUUAAAAUCUCACACCGUAUUUUAUUCAAUAAUGGUACAUUUCUUUUCUACAGCAAUGUGGUAUUUUGUACAAAUAUUAUUUUUAAUCAUCAAUUACUGCUACAAUAUCAUAAAACCAAAAAUCGAUGUUUCGCAAAGAACACAAAGGCGCAUAGUUAAUCUUCAAUCUCAAAUACAAUUAUUGGAAAGAAAAGUACAAGAAUUGACAAGUAAAAUAGAAAUUAAAACACGGAAAGCCAUUUUGUACAAAGAACUCUAUUCGAAAUCAUUGAGUAACAGAAAUGUGUUAUAUUAUCAUUAAAACAACCAUCAACGCUUCUACUCUAACGUAUAAGCCGAACGCGAUUUGAACGACUGAAGCUAUAAUACAUACCUACUACCUAUAAUAUGCUAAAAAUGUAAUAUUAUGAUACGAAAAAACUAUUAAAUAAAUUACCAAUUUUAAAACCA